rnacentral:rRNA from 1 species
CCUACGGGAGGCUGCAGUGAGGAAUAUUGGUCAAUGGACGCAAGUCUGAACCAGCCAUGCCGCGUGCAGGAAGACGGCUCUAUGAGUUGUAAACUGCUUUUGUACGGGGGAAAACGCAGAUACGCGAAUCUGUCUGAAAUUACCGUACGUAUAAGGAUCGGCUAACCCCGUGCCAGCAGCCGCGCUGAUACGGAGGAUUCAAGCGUUGAUCGGAUUGGUUGGGUUUAAAGGGUGCGUAGGCGGUCGGAUAAGUUAGGGGGGAAAUCCCCGGGCUCAACUUCGGAAUUGCCUUGGAUACGGUUCGGCUAGAGAGUAGUUGCGGUAGGCGGAAUGUAUGGUGUAGCGGUGAAAUGCGUAGAGAUC